AGAGGUAAAGGCCAUUUAAUACAAAGAGAGUAAGGGAGUCGAAAGGUGGCA
ensembl:ncRNA VC5.11 ncRNA